rnacentral:misc_RNA from 1 species
UACAGAGGGGGCAAGCGUUGUUCGGAAUUACUGGGCGUAAAGGGCGCGUAGGCGGCCCGCUAAGUCGAACGUGAAAUCCCUGGGCUCAACCCAGGAACUGCGUUCGAUACUGGCGGGCUUGAAUUCGGGAGAGGGAUGCGGAAUUCCAGGUGUAGCGGUGAAAUGCGUAGAUAUCUGGAGGAACACCGGUGGCGAAGGCGACAUCCUGGACCGGCAUUGACGCCGAGGCGCGAAAGCUAGGGGAGCAAACAGG